rnacentral:rRNA from 1 species
AUUGAACGCUGGCGGCAGGCCUAACACAUGCAAGUCGAGCGAGUGGCGGACGGGUGAGUAAUGUAUGGGGACUGCCCGAUAGAGGGGGAUAACUAAUGGAAACGGUGGCUAAUACCGCAUACUAUCGGAUAACCCAUAUGGGAUUAGCUAGUAGGUGGGGUAAAGGCUCACCUAGGCGACGGUCUCUAGCUGGUCUUAGAGGAUGAUCAGCCACAUUGGGGCUGAGACACGGCCCAGACGCCUACGGAGGCAGCAGUGGGGAAUAUUGUACAAUGGGCGCAAGCCUGAUGCAGCCAUGCGGCGGUUAUGAAGAAGGCCUUAGGGUUGUAAAGUACUUUCAGCGGGGAGGCGUUACCCUCAUAAGAAGCACCGGCUAAUUCCGUGCCAGCAGCCGCGGUAAUAC